GCUUCUUUUUAAAUGAUGAGAUACCAACGCAACAUAGAGUCAAGCUCAGAGUACAAAAAGUACUGGGACGAGACUUGCAUUCAUAUUUUCUGACUAAAGAGAAGU
rfam:Cyberlindnera jadinii NRRL Y-1542 unplaced genomic scaffold CYBJAscaffold_1, whole genome shotgun sequence.